CCUACGGGUGGCUGCAGUGAGGAAUAUUGGUCAAUGGACGAGAGUCUGAAUCAGCCAAGUAGCGUGAAGGAUGACUGCCCUAUGGGUUGUAAACUUCUUUUAUAUGGGAAUAAAAUGUUCCACGUGUGGAUUUUGUAUGUACCCUAUGAAUAAGGAUCGGCUAACUCCGUGCCAGCAGCCGCGGUAAUACGGAGGAUCCGAGCGUUGUUCGGAUUUAUUGGGUUUAUAGGGAGCGUAGGUGGAUUGUUAAGUCAGUUGUGAAAGUUUGCGGCUCAACCGUAAAAUUGCAGUUGAAACUGGCAGUCUUGAGUACAGUAGAGGUGGGCGGAAUUCGUGGUGUAGCGGUGAAAUGCUUAGAUAUCACGAAGAACUCCGAUUGCGAAGGCAGUUCACUGGACUGCAACUGACACUGAGGCUCGAAAGUGUGGGUAUCAAACAGGAGUAGAUACCCUAGUAGUC
rnacentral:rRNA from 1 species